GUUCUCGGAGUGUGCCGGACAGCACGCGACUCUGCGAAGGUCGAAGACCAGGUUCGAUUCCUGGCGAGAGCAC
rnacentral:tRNA from 1 species